GAGACAAAGGGCCAGCGGGGAUCAAAGGAGAAAGAGGUGCUGCGGGUGAUCCUGGAGAUCCUGGUGAGAAUGGAAUGAGAGGACCAUCUGGGCCCAAAGGAGUCAAAGGAGAGGCAGGUGUGGGAAUACCUGGGCCUCCAGGACAAUCUGGACCCAU